GUGGAGUGCGCCAUGUUUGCCACUACUUCCUCAGCAACUCCCUCGCCAUCGAGACCCGAGGACCACGCUCCAUCGAUCUAUUCGUCUGCUUCAACAGGUGCAUGAACACACAGUUGUCUACGAGCAUGAUGAGGAUGACAAGCAGACUACAUCGAGGUUGCUAGUAUGGAGGACGGCAUAAAAUGGUUAGCUUGGGUUGUGGCACAGCCAGCUCGACGAAUGGCGAACAACACAGUUGGACGCCCACCAUGUGUUAGGUAAUAUGAUUAUGUCAAUAGAUUUCCUUCCUUUUGAUUCACCUUCCUUGAGGUAUUGCUGUAAUACAUUAUUUUUAUUACUUUGCAAGUAUCCGAUUACUUUGUAUUGUUUUCAAUUUAAUGAAUAAUAACACUAUGCUGCAACCAUAUGCUACUUAAAAAGCUCCGGCAGAUGUAGGUAUGCUAUCUCAACUUCUCAAGGAUGUACUAUCCUCAUGCGGUCUGCAUUCUGAAUGGACGCCUGCCAUUUCUGAUUUGACGGCAAUGUUCUAUUGGAUUAAUUUCUUAUAUGUCAUUGGGAUAAACUUAUAUCUCAGAUCUGCCAUUAUUAAACCUGAUAUCACUGAGUUAAAUUUGUAUCCCCCUCAAUGCCAUCGCCAGUGGCAGGCGUCCAUUCUGGCCUCAACAUGUUUUUUUUAUCACUUUAUAAGAUCUAUAUAUUGAUAUAUCCUGAUUGCUGAAAUGUCUAUUUGGUUAUCUGUGCCUAUUUUUGUUGAGGUCCUUUUAGUUGUAGGAUGAUAGGUUCCAACACUUAUCCAAAUAUAUACAUAUGUCUUAGCAAAGUUAGCAAAGCAUGCAUAUGCAUAUCCUUUUGCUUGUACUCAACUCAUACCCAACAUAUUUCUACCAUGAUUCACUAUAAUGAAAUGCUGCUUGUACUUGAAUUUAUCAAAUGGAAAUAUUUUAGCAACAGCAGCUGGCCAGUUGAGAACUUUUGAUACUUCUGACAACAAAAAGAUUAAAAAAUUCUCUGGACAUCCGGUGAGUGUCUUUUCUUCUCCCGUCUACUGGUGUUCCUCUUCUGAGACUAGCGUACAUUGUUCUGCCUUUAUUCUUCUGUUUAUGCCCAGCUUUUCGUAAUUCAUACACGCAUAUAUACACAUUAGGUGGCUGUGAGGAGCAUGGUUUUUAGCAAUGAUGGCCAGUAUGUUCUGUCAUCUGGCAUUGGAGAACGCUAUAUUGCCAUCUGGAAAUUGGGUGGUGGUAAAACUCAGAGCUCAAGCCCAUACACGACUACAAAUCAUAUGUUGCUGUUCGUUAGCAGUUAUUUUAGGUUUUACUACAUUUUUGCAUGCAUGGUUUUUUGUUUUGUUUUCAGUAUCAGUCUAUUAAACAGCUCGCUAACUACACUCAAAAUUAUUUUGCUUGUUUAGUUCCUGUGCAAAGAAUUGAAGAUAACAGCAUAUGCAUCGAAGACAUGAUGAGAGAGUUGGUGUCAUUCAUACUCGAGCUUAUCAAAGCACGGAAGGUCAUCCUGGCAUUCCCCCUAAUAUUUUAUCAAAUCUGUUUGGUAGUGGCAGCAUAAAAGUCGACGCUAAUUUACCUAGCAAGAAGAUCCGGGCGCAUCUAUGAUCUCUGAAACCUGGGGAUGCUUGCAAACUUCUGGAAAAAUUAGUAUCUGCAUGGAAAACAAGGUGCUCAAGACUCUAUAAGUAGCAUGUUUGUUCACCCGUGCAUUUUCAUGCUGUGUAUAACCAUGUAUUCCUUCCUAAUUGCUGAUUUAUCUCUCCA